rnacentral:rRNA from 1 species
GAUGAACGCUGGCGGCGUGCCUAAUACAUGCAAGUCGAGCGACCAGACGAGGAGCUUGCUCCUCUGACGUUAGCGGCGGACGGGUGAGUAACACGUGGAUAACCUACCUAUAAGACUGGGAUAACUUCGGGAAACCGGAGCUAAUACCGGAUAAUAUAUUGAACCGCAUGGUUCAAUAGUGAAAGACGGUUUUGCUGUCACUUGUAGAUGGAUCCGCGCCGCAUUAGCUAGUUGGUAAGGUAACGGCUUACCAAGGCAACGAUGCGUAGCCGACCUGAGAGGGUAGCAGGGCAAAUUGGGAGUGAGGUAAGGCACAGAAGGCUACGGGAGGCAGAAGUGGGGAAUAGUGCAGAAUGGGCGGAAGCAUGAUGGAGAAAGGAGGAGUGCGGGAUGACGGCAUUCGGGUGGUAAAAAGAUUUCGCAGGGAGAGAGGAGUGAGUGACGGGAAUGGGUAAGGAAGCAAAGGAUAACGAAGUG